rnacentral:rRNA from 1 species
AGUGAACGCUGGCGGUAGGCCUAACACAUGCAAGUCGAACGGCAGCACAGAGGAGCUUGCUCCUUGGGUGGCGAGUGGCGGACGGGUGAGGAAUACAUCGGAAUCUACUCUGUCGUGGGGGAUAACGUAGGGAAACUUACGCUAAUACCGCAUACGACCUACGGGUGAAAGCAGGGGACCUUCGGGCCUUGCGCGAUUGAAUGAGCCGAUGUCGGAUUAGCUAGUUGGCGGGGUAAAGGCCCACCAAGGCGACGAUCCGUAGCUGGUCCGAGGGGAUGAUCAGCCAAACUGGAACUGAGACACGGUCCAGACUCCUACGGGAGGCAGCAGUGGGGAAUAUUGGACAAUGGGCGCAAGCCUGAUCCAGCCAUACCGCGUGGGUGAAGAAGGCCUUCGGGUUGUAAAGCCCUUUUGUUGGGAAAGAAAUCCAGCUGGCUAAUACCCGGUUGGGAUGACGGUACCCAAAGAAUAAGCACCGGCUAACUUCGUGCCAGCCGCCGCGGUAA